AUGUCAAACUUCUUACAUGUUUUGUGUAAUUUUCAUGAUUGCAUUGUGAUGAAAUAUAGGUAUGAACUUUUAUAUACAUGUCUUAGUUGCAUGAAUGGAUAACUUUUCCUUUUUAAGCUCGUGUCUUUAAGGGACUUGAAUAGAAAUUAAUACUUAUUUCUUUCAUUGUGAUACGAUACAUAGACAAUAGGAGUUAAAAUGUAGAUUACAAUUUUUGCAUUUGUAAUAUAGAAUAUUUUUUAGAUAUUUGAACAAAGAUCUUCUUACAGAAACCAAGAUCUUUUUUUUUUUUUUUCUUCAUAAAAGAAAAAUGUUUUAUUAAAACAUACAGAGUCGGAACCCAAAACUAGAAACAGUAGAAUUACUUAACUAAAGACAAAAACCUAUUGAGAGAAAUGUCCACAGGGCGUGGGCUGCAACCCUCACUUGGAACCACACCAAAGACCAUUACAGGGUACAUAUUCUUUAUUUUCAUUACCCAUGGAACGUCUUUGUUAUUUGUGGCAAUCGAGUGGCAGUUCUGGCUGUUAUUUUCGUCCCAAAACAACUUGGGCAUAAAUAAUUGUACAGCGGAACAUCUCUUACCUCGCUCGUUGAACAUUGCAUCACUUUCAGACAUGAUAAAAGGCUCUUAUUACUCUGGGAGUCGUACACAACUGUCCAACUAGAAGAUGGUCCCCUACAAAAAAAUAAAAUCUGCUCUCAUCAAACAAAAAUGGAGUUAUGGGUUCUUUAUUAGGUGACGUUUUUAUUGUUAGACUCUGUGCAUUAUUUCAACUGUUAAAUAAGUUAAUAUUUUUAAAGUGUUAAAUUAAUGAGCUAAAAUAUAGGUGGGUUUGUAGAUAUAA
rnacentral:lncRNA from 1 species